rnacentral:rRNA from 1 species
AUUGAACGCUGGCGGCAGGCCUAACACAUGCAAGUCGAGCGAGUGGCGGACGGGUGAGUAAUGUCUGGGAAACUGCCUGAUGGAGGGGGAUAACUACUGGAAACGGUAGCUAAUACCGCAUACCAUCGGAUGUGCCCAGAUGGGAUUAGCUAGUAGGUGGGGUAAAGGCUCACCUAGGCGACGAUCCCUAGUUGUUCUGAGAGGAUGACCAGCCAAACUGGAACUGAGACACGGUCCAGACUCCUACGGGAGGCAGCAGUGGGGAAUAUUGCACAAUGGGCGCAAGCCUGAUGCAGCCAUGCCGCGUGUAUGAAGAAGGCCUUCGGGUUGUAAAGCACUUUCAGCGGGGAGGCGUUACUCGCAGAAGAAGCACCGGCUAACUCCGUGCCAGCCGCCGCGGUAAUUC